UGGGGAAUAUUGGACAAUGGGCGCAAGCCUGAUCCAGCAAUGCCGCGUGGAUGAAGAAGGUCUUCGGAUUGUAAAGUCCUUUCGGCGGGGACGAUGAUGACGGUACCCGCAGAAGAAGCCCCGGCUAACUUCGUGCCAGCAGCCGCGGUAAUACGAAGGGGGCUAGCGUUGCUCGGAAUGACUGGGCGUAAAGGGCGCGUAGGCGGACCAUACAGUCGGACGUGAAAUUCCCGGGCUCAACCUGGGGACUGCGUUCGAGACGUGUGAUCUAGAGUUUGGAAGAGGGUCGUGGAAUUCCCAGUGUAGAGGUGAAAUUCGUAGAUAUUGGGAAGAACACCGGUGGCGAAGGCGGCGACCUGGUCCUUGACUGACGCUGAGGCGCGAAAGCGUGGGGAGCAAACA
rnacentral:rRNA from 1 species